GAUGAAGAACGGAGUGAAAUGCGAUAAGUAAUGUGAAUUGCAGAAUUCAGUGAAUCAUCGAAUCUUUGAACGCACAUUGCGCCCGCCAGCACUCUGGCGGGCAUGCCUGUCCGAGCGUCAUUUCAACCCUCGCGCCGUCCCUCCAGGGGGCUCGGCGCGGUGUUGGGGGACACGGCCCCGGCCGCCCCCGAAAUGCAGUGGCGACCCCGCCGCGGCCCCUCCAGCGCAGUAAGCACGCUCGCUACGGGAGGCCCGGUGGACGCGUCCGCCGUAAAACGCCCAACUCUUCAGAAGUUGACCUCGGAUCAGGUAGGGAUACCCGCUGAACUUAAGCAUAUCAAUAAGCGGAGGA
rnacentral:misc_RNA from 1 species